GAUGAACGCUGGCGGCGUGCCUAAUACAUGCAAGUCGAGCGAACGGACGAGAAGCUUGCUUCUCUGAUGUUAGCGGCGGACGGGUGAGUAACACGUGGAUAACCUACCUAUAAGACUGGGAUAACUUCGGGAAACCGUAGCUAAUACCGGAUAAUAUUUUGAACCGCAUGGUUCAAAAGUGAAAGACGGUCUUGCUGUCACUUAUAGAUGGAUCCGCGCUGCAUUAGCUAGUUGGUAAGGUAACGGCUUACCAAGGCAACGAUGCAUAGCUGACCUGAGAGGGUGAUCGGCCACACUGGAACUGAGACACGGUCCAGACUCCUACGGGAGGCAGCAGUAGGGAAUCUUCCGCAAUGGGCGAAAGCCUGACGGAGCAACGCCGCGUGAGUGAUGAAGGUCUUCGGAUCGUAAAACUCUGUUAUUAGGGAAGAACAUAUGUGUAAGUAACUGUGCACAUCUUGACGGUACCUAAUCAGAAAGCCACGGCUAACUACGUG
rnacentral:rRNA from 1 species